rnacentral:rRNA from 1 species
CAGUCGCCGCGGUAAUACGGAGGGUGCAAGCGUUAAUCGGAAUUACUGGGCGUAAAGCGCACGCAGGCGGUCUGUCAAGUCAGAUGUGAAAUCCCCGGGCUUAACCUGGGAACUGCAUCUGAAACUGGCAGGCUAGAGUCUUGUAGAGGGGGGUAGAAUUCCAGGUGUAGCGGUGAAAUGCGUAGAGAUCUGGAGGAAUACCGGUGGCGAAGGCGGCCCCCUGGACAAAGACUGACGCUCAGGUGCGAAAGCGUGGGGAGCAAACAGGAUUAGAUACCCCUGUAGUCCCUGUCUCUUAUAC